rnacentral:rRNA from 1 species
CGUGCGGGAAGAAGGCCUUCGGGUUGUAAACCGCUUUUGGUCGGAAAGAAAAGGCGACUACCCUAAGUACGGGGACGUUCUUGUACGGUACCGGCAGAAUAAGCACCGGCUAACUACGCGC